AUACUUACCUGCCAGGGGAGAUACCAUGAUCAGGAAGGUGGUUUUUCCCCAGGGCGAGGCUUAUCCAUUGCACUCUGGAUGUGCCAUCCCCUGCAAUUUCCCCAAAUAAGGGAAACUUGACUGCAUAAUUUGUGGUAGUCGGGGACUGUGUUCAGGCUCUCUCAUA